AAACGGACUCCGACUUGGCUUUGUUGCUGCUGAAAUUGAUUUUGCCGGUCUUGCAAAAUUACACGCUAUAUGCAUGAGUCAUGGCAGGAAUGGAGGAGGCUGAGCUCCCCUUUGGAGGUGAUUCUUGAGGCGAGGGAAAGAGCCCAUCAAGACGACUGCACCAAAUAUCAUGGAAAUGAGCCAGAAGACAAACCGUCCAU